rnacentral:rRNA from 1 species
AUUGAACGCGGGUGGCAGGCUUAACACAUGCAAGUUGAGCGAGAGGCGUACGGGUGAGAAAUGUCUGGGAAACGGCCCGAUGGAGGGGGAUAACAACUGGAAAAGGCAGCUAAUACUGCAUACCUUCAGAUGUGCCCAGGUGGGAGUGGCGAGUAGGUGGGGUAUUGGCUGACUUAGGCGACGAUCCCUAGCUGGUCUGCGAGGAUGACCGGCCGCACUGUAACUUAGGCAUGGUCCAGACUCCUUCGGGAGGCAGCAGUGGGGACUGUUGCACAAUGGGCGCAAGCUUGAUGCAGCCAUGCCGCGGCUGGGAAGAAGGCCUUCGGGUUUUUUAGCAUUUUCAGCUAGUAGGCGUUACUCGCAUAAGAAGCACCGGCUAACUCCGUGCCAGCAGCCGCGGUAAUUC